rnacentral:rRNA from 1 species
GUGGGGAAUUUUGGACAAUGGGCGAAAGCCUGAUCCAGCCAUGCCGCGUGCAGGAUGAAGGCCUUCGGGUUGUAAACUGCUUUUGUACGGAACGAAAAGACUCCUUCUAAUAAAGGGGGUCCAUGACGGUACCGUAAGAAUAAGCACCGGCUAACUACGUGCCAGCAGCCGCGGUAAUACGUAGGGUGCAAGCGUUAAUCGGAAUUACUGGGCGUAAAGCGUGAGCAGGCGGUUAUAUAAGACAGAUGUGAAAUCCCCGGGCUCAACCUGGGAACUGCAUUUGUGACUGUAUAGCUAGAGUACGGUAGAGGGGGAUGGAAUUCCGCGUGUAGCAGUGAAAUGCGUAGAUAUGCGGAGGAACACCGAUGGCGAAGGCAAUCCCCUGGACCUGUACUGACGCUCAUGCACGAAAGCGUGGGGAGCAAACAGGAUUAGAAACCCGAGUAGUCC